GACGAACGCUGGCGGCGUGCUUAACACAUGCAAGUCGAACGGAAAGGCCCUGCUUUUGUGGGGUGCUCGAGUGGCGAACGGGUGAGUAACACGUGAGUAACCUGCCCUUGACUUUGGGAUAACUUCAGGUAACUGGGGCUAAUACCGGAUAGGAGCUCCUGCUGCAUGGUGGGGGUUGGAUAGUUUCGGCGGUUGGGGCUGGACUGGCGGCUUAUCAGCUUGUUGGUGGGGUAGGGGUUUACCAAGGCUUUGACGGGUAGCCGGCCUGAGAGGGUGACCGGCCACAUUGGGACUGAGAUACGGACCAGACUCCUACGGGAGGCAGCAGUGGGGAAUAUUGCACAAUGGGCGGAAGCCUGAUGCAGCAACGCCGCGUGCGGGAUGACGGCCUUCGGGUUGUAAACCGCUUUAGCCUGUGACGAAGCGUGUGUGACGGUAAUGGGUAAAGAAGCACCGGCUAACUACGUG
rnacentral:rRNA from 1 species